rnacentral:rRNA from 1 species
GUAGUCCACGCCCUAAACGAUGAUCACUAGGUGUUGGCGGAGCAAUCUGCUGGUACCGUAGCUAACGCGUGAAGUGAUCCGCCUGGGGAGUACGGUCGCAAGAUUAAAACUCAAAGGAAUUGACGGGGACCCGCACAAGCGGUGGAUGAUGUGGAUUAAUUCGAUGCAACGCGAACAACCUUACCUACCCUUGACAUGUCCGGAAGCCCGCUGAGAGGCGGGGGUGCCUGAAAGGGAACCGGAACACAGGUGCUGCAUGGCUGUCGUCAGCUCGUGUCGUGAGAUGUUGGGUUAAGUCCCGCAACGAGCGCAACCCUUGUCCUUAGUUGCUACGCAAGGGCACUCUAAGGAGACUGCCGGUGACAAACCGGA